rnacentral:rRNA from 2 species
UACGGAGGAGGCAAGCGUUAUCCGGAAUUAUUGGGCGUAAAGCGUCCGUAGAUGGUUUUGUAAGUCUGCUGUCAAAGCACAGGGCUUAACCCUGUAAAGGCAGUGGAAACUACAAAACUGGAGUGCAGUAGGGGCAGAGGGAAUUCCCAGAGUAGCGGUGAAAUGCGUAGAGAUUGGGAAGAACACCCGUGGCGAAAGCGCUCUGCUGGACUGCAACUGACAUUGAGGGACGAAAGCUAGGGGAGCGAAUGGG